CAGAAGCAGGAACAAGUACUGUAAGCAUGGAGGGAGUAAUGAAAAGAUUGGUCUUGUCGGAAAAGAGAUUGAUUGCUCCAAAUCAGGUGAAAAUAAGUUAGGUUGAAAUAUUAAUAACUUAACAUGCAAGUAUUUCAAGUUGGCAGGAGAAUUUAUGCUUUCUGUCACAGAGAGCAGAAGAUUAUACAGAGGCACGAUAAUCAGUUUUGUAGAGGACAGAAAUGGUGGAAGCUGGGAUGAACUGGAGACUCAAGGAGAAUACUGACAUAAUCCAAGUGUGAGCAAAGCUUCUAACAGCACAAAUGACAAACAGGAGUUCCAGAAGUGCUGACUCAUCACAGCACAAGUCCAGUGGUUUGGCAGGAGACUUAACUUCAAAACGUUGAGGCUGGCCAUUUUCAAAAUAAAAAUCAGGAUCCAUAUCUGUGAUUCCUCUGUGAGUAUGUUUAAUUCAGUUGUCUUUGAAGAAAGUAGUUCACAUUACUCCCAUAAUUUUGAAAGCUUAUAGUACUAGUAAUUGCAGACAUAUGCUUUCAUUUCAUUAUAAAAAGGAUGUCAAAAGCACUUCAUGUUGCUAGAAAGGAGUAUUUCUGUGAGUAUGUGCAUGUGUGUACUGAGGUUAUUUAAUCUAGUUUUAAAUAUCGUUGUUUGAAUUUGGCAAAAUGGAAGCACAAAUACAUAUCAUAUAAACAUAGUUAUCAAAGUUAAGA